ACUCCGGUUGAUCCUGCCGGACCCGACCGCUAUCGGGGUAGGGCUAAGCCAUGGGAGGCGAACGCCCAGCCGCCGCUGGGCGUGCCGAACGGCUGAGUAACACGUGGCUAACCUACCCUCGGGACGGGGAUAACCCCGGGAAACUGGGGCUAAUCCCCGAUAGGCGGGGAGGCCUGGAACGGUUCUCCGCCGAAAGGGGCCACGGGGGUUCGCCCGUGGUACCGCCCGAGGAUGGGGCUGCGCCCCAUCAGGGUAGUUGGCGGGGUAAUGGCCCGCCAAGCCGACGACGGGUAGGGGCCGUGAGAGCGGGAGCCCCCAGAUGGGCACUGAGACAAGGGCCCAGGCCCUACGGGGCGCACCAGGCGCGAAAACUCCGCAAUGCGGGCAACCGUGACGGGGUUACCCCGAGUGCCCCCGUUUGGGGGCUUUUCCCCGCUGUAAACAGGCGGGGGUAAUAAGCGGGGGGCAAGUCUGGUGUCAGCCGCCGCGGUAAUACCAGCCCCGCGAGUGG
rnacentral:rRNA from 1 species